rnacentral:rRNA from 1 species
UACAGAGGGUGCAAGCGUUAAUCGGAAUUACUGGGCGUAAAGCGUGCGUAGACGGUUAUUUAAGUCGGGUGUGAAAUCCCCGGGCUCAACCUGGGAAUUGCAUUCGAGACUGAAUAGCUAGGGUUCGGAAGAGGGAAGCGGAAUUUCCGGUGUAGCGGUGAAAUGCGUAGAUAUCGGAAGGAACAUCAGUGGCGAAAGCGGCUUCCUGGUCCAGAACCGACGUUCAGGAACGAAAGCGUGGGGAGCACACAGG